CCGUGCUAGGCGGGGUGCUAGCGGUGCCCUGUACCCGCAAUCCGCUCUAGCGGGGCUGAACUCCCUCUCGAGGGGCGUCGGCUCGAGGUCUGCGCCCCGUCAGAGGCAGUGAUGGUCAGGUCCAGCAGCGGUGAAGCCCCGUGAACCAGGUCAGGUCCGGAAGGAAGCAGCCUUAAGCGGCCAGCUUCAGGCGCUGCGGGAGUGCCAGACCGGAGCCUCUAGCCGGCGGUCGCGCCCCGGGUACGGCUUCGACGGAGGGUGCACGG
rnacentral:SRP_RNA from 1 species